UGACAGCUCCAUCGCUCUCCUGUUGCUAAUGUUCGGAUGGGACAAACUCCUGAAGGACUUGUCACCUGUAUUUUCCCUGUGGGUCGUUCGUUUCACAGGAAUUCUAAAACGAGGACGGUGUCACACGAAGCUCCCCACACAGAAAGCGUCAUUUACUGAGAGGAGGAGGUCUAAAGCAGAAGUGAUGAAGGCAGCGUCAUACCUGUUUCAGCGGCAGCACUGAGACUCACAGUAUAAACUCCGUUCCAUCUGGCACCAUCUGCCCUAAUGAACCCAUGUAUUUGUGUGAAUAUGUGCUUUGAAAAACAAAGUAGGUGUGUGCGCGUGCUGUGCGGAAGAGGGGGAGGCGACGGCAGAGGACGAAGAGAGUGAGGAGGUGGGGGGCUGAGGGGUGGAGGAGGAAGUGGAGGCGACGUUGGCAGCUGCUGAUGAAGUCUCGAUCUUGCUGCUGUGUGUGAUGAAGCGCAGUCGCAGCUUCAUGGCCGGACGUAAGGUCAUGAUGAUUUUCUCCACCUGGAGAAAGAGAAACGGAGAGUUAAAAGCGAAGAACGGAUGUGUAUACACAAAUGUAGACUGGCAGCAAUGUAUUGAUAACUACAAAAAAAGAGUAAAAGUAAGGUAGAGAAAGAAACUGAUCAGUUUAGGAAAAUUGACUAAAUGCAUGAAUCUGAUUUUGGUUUAAACUGACCUCUACAGUUAAUUUCCUGAAGCAGUGGUAUAAUUACAGUACAGUAAUUACCAGGUCAAUACGUAUCACAUUCAUUUAUGUAACAUCUCUUGUUUUGAAUCGCAUCACCCAAAAUACGACACACAUAGCUUGAGUUAAGGUUUUGUCUAUUAAAUUAAUUACUUGAAAAGUCCAUUUAAAUACACAUGCCCAAGCCUAAAGCCCAAGUGGAGCUACAGUUUCAUCUUUAAUUAACUGUGGUGGCAGGAGGUCUGGACACGGCUGGGGAGCCAGCUCGUCUUGCUGCACAGGAGGUGACAGAUUCACACUAAAAAUGGAAGAUGAAAACAAAACCGUCUCCUGAGGAGCUGCAAGUUCACAGAUGUCAUCUUACUUGAAGUCCGGGUGACGAAGGUCUCCAUUUUUAGCUUUUUCAUCAGUUUGUUAUUUUAUUGUAUUAACUUGUUACCGUCUAAGUUUUGAAAUGUUUGGUCAGAUUUAUGGUUAAUUUUCCAUUUUAAUACAAGACACGUUCUCACCUGCUCCUUCA